rnacentral:sRNA from 1 species
AACACCCACAAACAACGUCACGACGCAACGUGGUUAAACAGUACGUUUAUUAAAGUAACUGGGUGAACGACACCGGAGCGGACUGCAAAUCGCAACGCUACUUUCUCGAGUGCAGAUACUCUUCGAGACGGCUAAACAACGUGUCCAACUCGCUGAGACCUUUCCGCGUGCCGUUAUCCGAUUUCCUUUCCGCCUCCUGAGACAGCCGACUAAUCACGGACUUAUCUCCGCAACCUAACAGAGGCUGGGAGCCCGACAAAAGUAAAACAGCGUGCUAUGAACACGUUGUUACCUCUGCGCGGACAGCGCCGCCACAGAGACACUUACGCAUUGCCGCAUGUCUUUGUAGAUGGAUUCUAGCGUCGAGCGCAUACUAUGCAAUUCCGUCUUGAGUCCGGGAUAGACGUGGUCGCCUGCGGGGAACACGAUCUCCAGAUACCGCCUCAACAACCAGUCCAUGACGCUGCAUCCCCAACAGCCUUUGACCACCGUACCGUCGAGCCACACGGAGUAGUCGUCCUCACGUUGCUACAAGAGGAAAACUACGUCACCCGACACGCGGAAAAGAAAGACCGUCGCAAUAAACCGUACCUACGUGACCUACCAACGUAGGUUUUACUCGAUGAAAGGUGACGCGGAGAUCUUGCAAUCUGGUCGCGUAAUCCUCUGGACGACACUGCGGCUUUGUAUUCUUUAUCGUCGCCGGCUUCGCCUCCUCGGAAGCGCCUAGAAAAAAGACGAUCAGGACCAGAGAGGAAGAGACCAUCACCGACAGCAUCGCCGCAGCAUGCCGCCCCAGUCCGCCGCCCAACUGCGCGUCCCAGGUACCACCCGUAGACUGUCAGCCUUGCGAGGAAACACCGCGGACCGGGGAAACGGAUAAGUUUACGAACAGAAAUUUCAAGAGAAAGACACUGACCCGAUAAGUACCGUCACGGAGACACGGUGGUUUUUAUUGAAUUUCCAGUGUAUCGAGCCACCGUGAUGCAGGUACGGUGGUUUUAUGUAAAGUGCCGCUAUCUAUAGGCGAUGUGUUCCCUGACGGUGUGUGUUUUUUUGGGGAUAGACAACGUGGUUCUUGUACGUGGUUUUUACCCUGCUCAAUAAAGUCACGUUUUCCUUACACGGUGUUGUGUC